GAAAAAGUAUGCAAGAACUGCUAACUCUAUGCCCCCGU
rnacentral:tRNA from 1 species